UACGAAGGGGGCUAGCGUUGCUCGGAAUCACUGGGCGUAAAGCGCACGUAGGCGGAUUGCUAAGUCAGGGGUGAAAUCCUGGAGCUCAACUCCAGAACUGCCUUUGAUACUGGCGAUCUCGAGUCCGGGAGAGGUGAGUGGAACUGCGAGUGUAGAGGUGAAAUUCGUAGAUAUUCGCAAAGAACACCAGUGGCGAAGGCGGCUCACUGGCCCGGUACUGACGCUGAGGUGCGAAAGCG
rnacentral:rRNA from 1 species